AGAGUUUGAUCCUGGCGUCAGGAUGAACGCUAGCGAUAGGCUUACACAUGCAAGUCGAGGGGCGAUCGAGGGUAGCAUACCUGUCGGCGACCGGCGCACGGGUGAGUAACGCGUAUGUAACCUGCCCGCAACAGAGGGAUAACCCGGCGAAAGUCGGACUAAUACCUCAUAAAACAGGGGUUCCGCAUGGGGCUAUUUGUUAAAGAUUUAUUGGUUGCGGAUGGGCAUGCGUACCAUUAGGUAGUUGGUGAGGUAACGGCUCACCAAGCCAUCGAUGGUUAGGGGUUCUGAGAGGAAGGUCCCCCACACUGGUACUGAGACACGGACCAGACUCCUACGGGAGGCAGCAGUGAGGAAUAUUGGUCAAUGGGCGAGAGCCUGAACCAGCCAAGUCGCGUGAAGGAUGACUGCCCUAUGGGUUGUAAACUUCUUUUACAGGGGAAUAAAAUGAGAUACGUGUAUUUUAUUGCAUGUACCUUGUGAAUAAGCAUCGGCUAACUCCGUG
rnacentral:rRNA from 1 species